rnacentral:lncRNA from 1 species
GAGAGCGGAACUGCUGGGGGAACCUUCGCCACCCUCUCCCGGGCAACUCUACGGGGAAAGCCCAGCUGCGGACAAGCCAGACUUGUGGUCUUCUGCCAGGGGCGGCAGGCCCUAUCCCCUCUCUGGGCCUCAGUUCCACUCCCCGCACCCCGUAAAAAGAUUGGCGUAGAAGUCGUGGAGGACCUCUCUCCAAGGGCGCAGAGGAGUCCAACACCCAACAACCUUGCUAUGGCCAGCUAAGUGGUUCGCACCCUGAGGACUAUGGUCCUCGGAGGAUGCGUUCGCCUAAGUGGACACGGCUCCCUGCUGAGCCUACCAGCAGGCACAACGAUGAUAUGUGGGGAGCACUCAGGGACCCGCUGUUGCUUUGCCUGGGAGAACACUGGAAAUUUUUCAUCUUGGCCUGGCUCCUUCCCCUCCCUCUCCUUUCUCCUCCCUUUCCCAGCCAGCAGCCUUCUGGGCUGCCUCCCCCCAAGCCAGCUGG